UCUCAGUCGACACUUGCUCAAGGCGGGU
rnacentral:sRNA from 1 species